CCUACGGGUGACAGCAGUGAGGAAUAUUGGGCAAUGGGCGCGAGCCUGAACCAGCCAAGCAGCGUGAAGGAUGACUGCUCUCGGGUUUGUAAAUUUUUUUUUUAAAGGAGUAACGUGAGACAGGUGCUCCUUUUUGUAUGUACUUUAUCAACAUGCAUCGGCUAACUCCGUGCCAGCAGCCGCGGUAAUACGGAGGAUCCGAGCGUUAUCCGGAUUUAUUGGGUUGAAAGGGAGCGUAGAUGGGUUGUUAAGUCAGUUGUGAAAGUUUGCGGCUCAACCGUAAAAUUGCAAUUGAUACUGGCAGUCUUGAGUACAGUUGAGGUAGGCGGAAUUCGUGGUGUAGCGGUGAAAUGCUUAGAUAUCACGAAGAACUCCGAUUGCGAAGGCAGCUUACUAAACUGCCACUGACAUUGAUGCUCGAAAGUGUGGGUAUCAAACAGGAUUAGAUACCCUAGUAGUC
rnacentral:rRNA from 1 species